GUUUUCUUCUGACAGGACAUUUCAUUUUUGUUCAGAAUUUGGUUUUUUUUUUUUUUUGGUUUUCCUUUCUUUUGGACUUAUUUCUAAAGUUGCUUCCUUGUUCUGCUAAUCUUAUCUGUAUAUCAGGAAGCUAUUUUCAGCUAGAAUUACUGGGGCACAUUUCCUACAGUGAUCUGAAACAUAUGUUUCAUGCCUGUGAUGUUUCUUAAGUAGUUCCCUAAUCUGAUAGCAGCAACAUGUGUAGAAGUUCACCAUGGAAUAAUAGAAAUUGUUAUAAAAUGAUCAGGAUAAUGUAGGGAAAACACUUGACUAUCCAGAAUCAGUGCUUUCUCGCUGUUGUUCCAAACUUCAAUAAACUGAUCCACAACAAGAUAUUCCUGGAAACAUUUCGCAUUCCUUACUGCUAUAGUAUUUGAAAUUAUCAUGUGCUAGAUAUUUUGUAAAAUAAAAAUUUCCUCUCAAAGUAAAAUCUUUCACAAUUGGAUUUAGAGAUCAGAGUAAAUAUUCAACAGCAGGGGCCCCAUCAGAUGCAAAAGCUUCAAGUGCACACUGUGAUCAUGUUCCCUAUCUAAAGAUAGAAGCAAUGGCUUCUGAAUUGAAUAUCUCAUAACUCUGGAAUGUCUGCUACUGCUUGUCAGCAGGGUGGCAGGCAAUUAUGCAAAAUCUACUUCUCAAAUUCAAGAUGGCUGCCUUGAUUUUUAUCUAUACACAUUGCAAAAUGCUUGCAAUGUGCAAUUUUUCUGCUUUGACUUUUUGAGUCAUGAUGUUGAAACUAACUGUAAACAUACAAUAGUUCCUACAUUUGAUUUAAAUACAGUAUUUUCUGAUAAACUUUUUUUUUGAUUAUGCAUCAUCUGAAGCUUGUAAAUCAUAACUGCAUUUCAAUAAACCAUGUUUAAAAACAUUACAAGAUGAUUAUAACAUCAUAAAAUGCUAACCAAAGUACAAGCACACACAAAUGUGUGUGUUUUUCUCUGGGUUCAAGAUCAUUACACCAUGAGCCUUGAAAUAUAAACCAUAUGCCAUUUUUUGACACUCACUAGAAAGCUCUUCCAUGUUUCUUCUCACAAUUCUUAUAACAAAAACUCAUUACUAAACAUUUUGCUGCAAAGUGGUAAUGCUUCUUUAAUUCAACAUGAUAAUUGGUAUACAAGACAUAAUCCUCUGACUUGCACAUGCCAUAAGUUUGGAGAACACAAAUUUAAUUCAAGAUGCUUUGCUGUAUGUAUCUUUAACAAUAUCAAUAUAUGUUAGCUUUUCACAGAAACCAAACUUAGGACCAAGAAUGCCAAGUCAAUCCAGAGGAACAAAAUGACCACAGUGCCACUAUCUCACACAAGACUGAUCAUUCCACAGAGGAACAAAAUGACCACAGUGCCACUAUCUCACACAAGACUGAUCAUUUGUGGACACCUCUGGACAUCAAAUGGAAACAAUGGAUUUCACUUUACAGUCCACUCAUGACAAAAAAUAAAUCUAUAACAUCAGCACUGUGCCCCAAAACAUGCCCAUUUAAUCCAGAUAUGAAAUAUAAUGCAAUAACUUCAAUACAAAGAUAAAAAAAGUAUCUCUAAACCAUUUGAAACACAAUUGGAUGGGAUUAAGAAAUAGAUGUUAUACCGAGAUCCGUUCUCACCAUAAUUUUCUUUGUCCAACAAUAGAACGAACAUAUACAUUAUGUUCCCCCCCCCCCCCCCCCCAAGUUAAAUACUGAUUAUAUAAAGUCCUUAAGGAUGUAUGCUACAACAGAGAAAUUUGUUGUAAAUGAAAAAUAGAGGAUAUGUACAACAAUAUUUUGAAGUUGAAAAUUUUGAAAUUUACUAUACUUUGUCAAAAAAUACAGUUUUAGUAGAAGGUAAUCUGAAAAAAAUUUAAAACCUCUGCUGGACUCGAACCUGCGACCAACAGUUCAGGAGUCGGUAUUCUAACCUACUGAGCUUAACUCAGCUAGGUAUUUAAAUUGAAAAGGAAAAGUAAAAUAUUGCUAACAUUGUUUUUUUCAUCCAUGUUUUUAAACGAAGUCAGCCAUUAUGACAAUGUAGAGUACCUCCUUAACAAUCUACUGAUUGUGUCUAUAUAUAGAGUAAAUGUUCUACCUUUUUUAUUUACUGAUUUAAUGUCACAUAUGUAACUCUUUACAAAAUUGACUAAUUAAAGACUCCCCAUUUUGAAAAUAAACUACAAUAGGGUAAUUGGUUCUAAAAGGACAAUAGGGUAAUAGCUGGAGUUCCAUAGUUUCCUGAGAUCAUAGGUGGAUUCAACUUUUCAUUCUAUCUUUACUUACUCCAGUCACUAAGAAAGGUUCUAAAUUGAAGGGUUAGGUCUUCUCUAACUUGCCAAUCAAAGUUGCUAGUAAAUAUAGACAAUCUUUCUCAUUAACAAAUUGCAUAAAACGCAGUCAAAACUGAGGAUUUACUUUUGGGAAAUACAGAUUUUUCAUUAUUAUAGAACUAACACAAAACAUGUUUAUUCAUUCUCUAUUAUUUUUGGCAGUUUAUUUGAUCCACUUUUAAAAUAAAUAUAUAUAUUUUUUAAUCUGAAGUUGUGUGAAGUAUGGAUGUCUAUACCACACAACAACUGAUAGACAGAACUUGGCUGCUUCAGAUUUUGGUAACAGAAACAUUCUUCCUAAUCCCAACCACCUGGCAUAAUUUGAAUCAAGUGUGUGCCAUUAAGACAUUCCAGCAAACUAAAAUUUAAAAAUUUCCAACUUGGCAAAAUAAAAUCCAUGUGAGUGCAUUUCUCAUUCGAGUUAUCUUUCCUUAAUUGCAUACAGAAAAAGAUGUAACAGAUGUUUCAAGAGUAAGCAAGAAUUUGACAAAAUAUUCAAAGACAAGGUCUAGCUGUUAGUAAAAUCUUUGAAAUCAGUAAACAUGUAUUGUGAAUUGUCUAAAUUCAGUGGACUUCAGUAACCUGUAAAUGUUAUUUUUUCUAAGAAAUAAAUGUCUAGGUGGUAACUGAGUCAUGAAAACAUGAAAUUAAAAGUAUGGGGUAAUCUGUAAAAUCAGUGAAGCCAAUCAUCCAAAAAACAUUCAUUCCUUAUAUAUUUAUAUUAUAAAUAUAUACAUUCUAAGGUUUUAAGUCCAGUUGAAAGGCUGUUGCUUUUAUUGAGAAAUAAAAUACAUUGAAACAGCACAUAUUUACUACUGACAAAACAUUGGUAUUUAUAGUUGAAAUAGCAAAACUUCCCAACUUCAGGAUCAAUGAAGCAUUAUAAGACACAAUUUCCAAAAUAAUAAAUAUCUAAUGGAGCCAAGAACUUUUGAUAACUUGGAUAAGGAAAACUCUCUCCCUAGAACUGCUCAAGCAUAAAGGAAGACCUGGAUGCUUCCGCAUCCCAUCCUUUUUUUAUUACACAGAAUAUAUAACAGAUCUGCUAAGCCCAACAAGCAAACAAUUCCCUGUGCAAUAUAUCUACAUUUGUAACUACAUCACGUACACUGAAGCAUGACUGAUCAUUCACCCAAGAUGUACAGUUCAGUCAAGUACAGAGUGGGAAGCAAUAAAAAGCAUUCCGUUUUUUGGCCAGAACUGGGGAAAAUUACAUUUUUUUGUAGGAUAUCCUAGAUUUCUGUGUGGUUUGCUUGAGCUUAUGACAUAAUGAAGUCAUAAAGUAAUGGAUUACUCUGUUCUUCCAUUCCCUCCCACAAUUAAUUACAACUGCAAUUUGCAAUGUUUAUUAUAGAUUCUUGUUCUAUUCCCUACUCAUUUAUCACUGGCAAGUGUUCAUAACAGGACCAGGUGUAUGUGGACCCAACUGAUGAUGCAGUAUCAUUAUAAAAAGAUAGUUCCCUUUACUUCUCUCACAACUGCACAAAGCUCAUACAAAACUAAAUAACUGUCCAUACAUAUAUGUUCCUAUAUAUGUAACCCAACAAAUUACAGUUCACUGAUCGAGUGUUGUUAGGAGAGUAUAAAAAUUAUAGUUCACUGAUCGAGUGUUGUUAGGAGAGUAUAAAAAUUCCAGGACAGUAUUAAAGUUUAGGAGUAACAUUAUCAAUGUGAUUUCAAUCCUUCAAAGAGUCUUGCCAACCUAGUUUGUCUGAAACUCGAAUGACUCCAGAAAAACAAAGUCCAGAAAGAAAUGAUUCAUAUAAUUAAUAAUUGGUUGUUUGAUUGUUAUUCACACUAAUCUUUGAACUGCUUAUCAUUUUAAGAUUCUAAAUUGCCCACUCUAAACUGUCUGAUAAUAAUGAUGUUAUAAACACUGCAAUGGUGUUUAUCAAAAUUAAAUGAGAGAUUUGUUUAUGAUCUUCAUGUAAUGCACCAUAUAUAUUUUGAAAGUAACAUCUCAAGGUACAUAACUUUCAACUUUCAGGCGUGUAGACCUAGUUCUUCAAAUUUCAAAAAAAUAUUAUAUCUAUCUUCUCUUUCUGUCAAUCAAUCAUACUCCUACAUAAUUCCAUUUGAAAACCAAGAUUAAAACACUGAUAUUUGGGGUUAAAUCUGCAUCAUAGCCACUAAUAAAAUGUAUGCAUACACAACUUAUUACAGUGUAUAAGCACUUCACAAAGUGUAAUCCUGUCUUUUAUUCCGUCUUUAAAACCUAGUGAACAAUUGCCAGAGCUAAUGGAUUAACUGAGGUUGAGAAGAACAUAUGGUUUACUUUAUCAAGGGUCUCUGGAAUGCCAGAAGCUGCAGCAGAACCAUAAAACAUCUAGAGGGGCCAAUUAAGGGGACAGGGUGCCAAUGAGGGCAUACGACUUGCAAAUACUUAGUUCUAAUUGGAAUUUGAAAUCAAAUGUUUAAUCAGGGCUCUUGGAUCUUUACAUAUAAUACAUGAUGGUUUUACAUUUCUUGAGCUCCAGUUUAAAUUUAUAUUCCAAAUCUCUUCUGUUUUCAAGUAGCAGUGUCUGCCAAGUUUGAUAUAUCUUGUCUUGGGGCCCGAAAACAGGAGAGCCAAACUAACUGGUGAUAGGAAACUCCCAACCAAUCAUUAUCUGAUUCAUCAUAUACAGUAAUGACCAGAGAAUGAUAAGAUUCUAAGAUAUAAUCUAUACAGUUCUUCAUUCCUCCUAUAUCAACUGGGAGGGACACAGUACACCAUCUCUGUCCCCCCUAAGGGGUCCCUAGCUUCUGGGGAGACACAUGUAUUGAGUGUAAUAGAUUAUCUAUGUAUACUGUUGAUGUUUCAUCUGCCAAUGGCUGUGCAUAACCAAAUAUGCUGACAUCUUUCCCAUGGCCCUGCCCGCCUUAUAAGUAACCUAUACAAGCAGAAAGGGCAAUGCUUGGGAAACUCAAACUGCACCUCUCAAAGAAUUUUGUAGCAAGAUUGAACUAUAAAUUUAUUACUAAGCAUUGAUAUGAAUAUUUAUAAAGCAUAACAUAUUUUACGCCCAGAACACUUGUGCCAGGCUACCAAAGAAACGUCAUGUCCCUAAGUGAGCAAGUCUAAAGAAACCCAAGAACUGUUUCAAGUAAAUGCAAUAUAAUGUCAUAUAUAUAGCAAAUGAAAAUCAUCAGAGUAAAGAAUCAGACAGUCAUGUGCAGAUAUUGCCAUUAUACAAAUAAUGCCCUACUCUUGGUAAAAGCAUCAGGGUAACACAGACAUUGACCUCUGACCUUUGGCAGGUAAUGGAGAGGCACAUCUCAAAGGGGGUACUGUAGGAUAACUAACAUUCCAUUCUGAUCAACAAUGAAACUAAGCACAGACAGUGUACAUCUUUAGGCAUACACGAACUGUGAGAGCAUUCAACACUGGGCCAAUGUAUAAAUUCCCUGUUCUCACACACACCAAUGGCACAUGGCAAGCUUCUUGCCAAAUAUAUCUCCUCAUACCUGCGUUCAGGUACGACAAUCACAUGGCUUUUGGUGUUCUUAUGGCUCAGACCUCAGUCGAUGGCCAUCGCUUCAGGAUUAAAUCACAGUUAAAAGGGACCUGUAUAUUCUUCAGAUAUCACUCUGUCUUUACCAUUAUACUUAGAUAUUUAUGUUUGAUACUGGUGAGGAAAUAAUUCAAAACUUGCUGAAAUGUAAGUCAAUUGUUGGUUUUUCUAGUUUGGUGUGUGCUCUGAUUUUUCAUGUCUUUUAUUCUUAAUUCAAAAUAAAAGAAAGCAAUUUUCAUGCAUGAAUAAAAAAAAUUCAUAAUUUUCCAAUAUCAAGAAGAAAUAUUGAAAAUUUGACAAUCCUUUUUCCUUCAAAGUAUCAGUGAAUUUUGAACUUCUGCAUGCAUUUGACUGUUGUAUAAAAGAUUACAAGCCCAAAAUAAUUGCAUCUUACAACUGGUUGAAGGGCACCAUACUGAAUGUUUGUUCCUGAUUGCAGUGUUACCUCCCCUUGUAUAGUAAUAUAAAGUCUUCCUUACUUUUCAUACCCCAAACCAGCUACUGCAACACGUGAGCAGCUGCGACGUUGGUUGCUAUUCUGUAGUUGGUUGAGACUGGGCCAAAUACGUUCAGACAUUCAAAUUUGGUCCCCUUCAACCAGCUGUAGUUAGCACUGUUAUCAUCAGCUAAGUCAUGUCCUGCAUUUUUAAUUUUUACUUUCAGCUCUAAACCUGCUUCAUCAGCUGAUUGCUUGGUAUGAUUUUAGGAGUAUUCAUCAAAAUUCAAGUGAUGGUGGGGAGUUCCUAUUUAAUGUGCUUUGCAUGUAUUUAUUUAUUGCAUCGCAAGUACAUGUACAAAUGUGGCAACUGAAAGAAGACAUUUACUGUUCCAUGAUCAAAACUAGAUUACCUAUUCACUUUGCAUGUUAAUAAGUAGAGAAUUUGUCUGGUAAACUGUUACACUUAAAUGUGUUUAAAUGUGAAUUUUAAAAUCAAGAGAGCAUAGUCAUUCAAAGUAUUUUCAAUGUUUACAGACUGGGCUGUUAACGUGUACUUUAAUAUCUUUCAAACAGUGACCUCUGUAACUUUUUAUUGAAUGCAUACUGCAGUGAGGAAAUAGUGUAGUUCUUCACAAUGUGCAGUCUUGAAAUGAACUACCUAGUAAACAUGAUUUAAAGUACACAUAUAUGCAUUGUAGGUUCUAAAUACAACACUGUGGUUCCAUUAUCAAAUAUCACUGAAAGCUACUCAGGGACAAUUACAUUCUUUCUCUUUUAACAAGUAUAAUACAGUUAAUUCUCAUUACACCACUACCUUCUGUAAUUUGGAAAAUGUGGUGGUAUAACGAAUUUUGCAAUGAAUUGAAUGUAGAGAAUAUCAAUGGAUGGUUUGAUCAUACACAUUCAAUAUUUAUUUGCCAUUCAUUUAUUGCACACCUUAAAAUACAUUCAUGAUACCCUAUAUUCAUUAUAGGUAAAAUAUUUCGUUCUACAAUAAAAUGCGUCUGUUAAUUAUCAAAUAAAGAAAUAUCAUCAGUAGGAUUCAUAUAAAACACAUCUUUUGACUACUUCAUUUUUUCUUUACUAUUUCAUUUUAUCUCACAAUGGUAUCAAAAUAAUGAAGUCUUUUAAACAAGAGUAUAGUUACUUCUCCAGCCCUUCGUCACUCCAACUUUCACAGAGGUCAACAGUUUCCAAGCAUAUUUUACACACUCAAAAGGAUGUGAACACAUUCUAUUGUUUUAUCUGAAAUUCAAAGCACCUCUUCUGUGAAGAUGCAUAAUUGGACUUCAGAAUUUCACUUAUCCUUACAAAAAAAUAUCUUGUUUAUCUUUAAAUUACCUGUAAGGCCUAUGGAUGGCAAUUCACUAUAGUGAUCUAAGACUACAAAUGAAUAGUUACACUGAUCACACACCUUUGGAAGUAUAUAUUGAGACAUUUGACACUAAUAUAGACAUUUGUUUUGAAAAGUGGGUGGCGGAUGGUGAUAUGCAAAGUUGGUGUUAUAACAGAUUUCUAUAGUAGGAAUGAUGUUUCUGACAAAAUGUGGUGAUAUAAGUGAAAAUGCAUGGUGAUGAAUUAAGAAGCAAUAAUUGGAGACAUAACUGUAACAGACAGCAGAUUCUUUUUUUAGUGUCAAAUGCCCUCGUAGAGGCUACCACAAUAUCAAACUAUCAUAUUCUGAAUGUUUUCUAACUCCUAAAUGGCUAUGUUCCUCCUGUCUGGUUUUUUGACAAGUAUACAGGGUAAAAUCCUACACAAUACUAGUCAAACAUCAUUGUGGUUACAUUAUUGCUGCAUGAUUACCAGUCAUUUUUAAAAGUACAAACACACAAUGAAUCAAAUUAUUUUUCAUGGGUACAUACAAAUCAUUCUUUUGGACAUAUGCUGAUCUUGAUCAUCAAGGCCAAUGAGUUUGGUAAAAAAGAAAAAUUACUUGGGAUAUUAAUUAGUAACAUGGUAGUAUUUGAUAUGUGUAAACCAAAAUUUAAAAACUUGAUGCAAAGAUGUAUUUGAGAUAUCUCAACUUUUCAUUUUCAAAUCAAGGUAUCAGCCAUGUUUAUGUUUACAUGUUAUGUGACUCAGCUAUCAACAAUUGGCGCCAAAGUUGAUGGAUAGAGAAAAGAGCUUUUACAACAAAAAUUUUCAGUUCUUACUUGUGCUUGCUUCCUAAAUUGAUUUAGCAAUAAUCUCUGUCGAAAUGCUGAAUUCUAUUGACACACAUUUUAGAAAUCUUGGUGUUCUCACCUCUGUGGUUUGCAAGUAUUUGUUCACUGUUCUAUGCAAUGUGCACUUAUUUGUCUCACUCAAGAUAUAUAUUGACAUCAUCGUUACAAAAAGGAUUUGGGGAGCUGGGUUUUAUGUAAAUAUAGUGUAUCCUGUGUAAAAAUAUUUUUAAUCCACUUAUUUAUAAAAGAUCUUUAUUUCUAUAACAAAAUACUAUCAAUUUCAAUCGAUCAAAAAUUGUGUCCAUGUCUCUUUAAUGUCUAGUUAGCACUAUAUAAAUGUGAGUGUCAAUUAUGACAAGGAAACAUUCAUAGAACUUUCACUAUAACUUUCAUGCAAAUGGGUCCAGGACUGAAUAGAUGGUGAAACAAAAAGCAGCAGCUAUUAAUAUAUUGCUGGCAUGAUUGUCAAAGGAUUUGAUAAUUUUCAUCUACUUUAUGGAGUAUCUACAAAAAGUUUACUAUUUGUGAGAAAACAUAAUUUCAAUGAAUGCACAUGCUAUGGAACUCAUCCAUCGUACGUAAAGUUUAUGGUAUUAGAAGUUGUAUUGUAGUUCAAUAUUUCACUUCUGUACAUAAUAUUAAUUUCUUAUCCUUGUAUUUUUCAGGGUUUCUUUUCAAGAAGCACCAGCUAAUGCAGCAUCAUGUUUAUUUAUAAACAGAAGAUCAAAUUUUAAUCAUUGUUUUGAAAAAUCUGAGGCUGUUUUUGAUCCUACAUUUCAUUCAUAGGAUCAAAUUUCUUAAUCUACAACAGAAGUUUAGAGACUAUGUUUUAGUGACACACUCUUUCCAAUUAAGAUUAUGUUAACCCAAUCCAACUCUCUCCUUCUCUUACAAAUUCCACAUCUUUCACCAGCAUUUUUUCAAUUAAACAUAAAAACAGGUAUUACAUCAGUAUUCUAUUACACAGUAAUCCAUAAUAAUGAUUUACAUUCCCUUACAUAAUCUGUCCUAUGUAAACCCACAGUGCAAGGCAGGAUAAUGUUUUGCAUCUGUGUGACAAUGUGCUUUCUCCUCUGCUAAUUAUAUUGCCAUGCCCUACCCCAAUAAGCAUCUGGAGGACAAAUUUCCUAGAGAACAAAGUACAAGAAUGCCAGAACAGCUCUAAUAAGGCUGCAGUAAAAUAAAGUCUACUCUGGAUAAAGUGAAAUUCAGACAA